rnacentral:ncRNA from 1 species
CUAACAUGUGUGCAAGUGUUAGGGUGUGGAAACCCCAGCGCGAAAUGAAAGUGAAGGGCAGCGUAAGUUGUCUGAGGUAGGAAAUGCUGCGGGCUUCGGUCUGCGGUGUGGCACUAUCGACCGAUCAUGAACCUUCGUGGUGAAAGAUUUGAGUUUGAGCACAUAUGUUGGUACCCGAAAGAUGGUGAACUAUGCCUGAGUAGGGUGAAGCCAGGGGAAACUCUGUAGAAGCUCGUAGCGAUUCUGACGUGCAAAUCGAUCGUCAAACUUGGGUAUAGGGGCGAAAGACUAAUCGAACCAUCUAGUAGCUGG